GGUAAGUUAAAAGCCUAAUUAGACUGUUAGAAGGUUAGAAUGUUAGCAUAAGAUAAACAUUAAUAAGUUAGAACAGAUAGUUAUCAUGUUUUCCAAAUAAUUAUAAGUCUUAAUAGUAAUUAAAGUUUCAGUUUUUAAAUUUUCGCACAGUGAAAUUACGCUUUUUUAAAAUCUCUAAACAGUAAAACGAAAUCCUUAAGUUGAGUUAUGGCGGAGUGUAGUUUUUUUUGACUGCACUAAUAGUUCGUAAACACCACACAGGAAGUAGGAAAAGAACUACAUUUCCUAUCUGCCCUGGCUGUCACAGGCUAAUAGCACCAGCUGCUUUCCAUUGCCCUAAGGAGUGAUUGCUGCGACAAGACCAAAUUCAACGAAAGUAUUGAUGCUGCAAAAGAAGACGGAUCUUUUGGUAGGCUGCUUAAUGAUGACCACAAGCACCCAAAUUGCAGAAUGCAGAAGACUGAAGUGGAUGGAAGCCCACAUCUUGGUCUGUUUGCUUUAACAGACUUUAAAGAAGGUGAUGAAAUUACCUACAAUUACGGAGGAGGAGACUGGCCUUGGUGUAGCAAGAUUUUCCAAAUGUCUAUUAAAUAUGCAGAUUAUGGAGGAGGACACUGCUGAGAGCAAUGGCCAGGAGAAACAGCAGCCAUCACAGUCUGCACCUUUUCUGGAUCAUAAAUAUCAGAAUUGUGUAGUUUGCUGGCACUUUUAAUCCUGCCUUUCAAUCACACCUCUCCAUAAUUUCCAACAAAAGCAUCCCCUGGGACUUAGUAGGUUCCCUACUGCAUCUUCUCCAAGAAAACUGAGUACUCUUAGUUACUAUUUGGUACAUAUGCACAAACUGCAGUCAGAGUUUUCAUUCUUGAGACGUGAAAUCUAAGUUCCAGUCUGUAAGUUGCCGGACAGUAAUUUCUGUUGGGUGUAAGGGUGUGUGUUUGCUAUGUAACUAAUGUUUAUUCUUACAUUUAGGUAAAACAUCUACUCUGAAAAAGAGGAAGGCUCGGGAAGGAAAUGAGGUCCAUGCAGUGGAGAGACAAAUGAAGACCUUCAUCAUGUCAUGUCGUGACCCAGGGAAGUUGGUUGAGUUGGUGUUUUCUCACAGAGGAAAGCUGUAGAGUUCUGUCCUCAGUUCUCAGAUCAAACUCCUCCAGACUGAGACACCUGAACCUGAGUAUCAAUAACCUGCAGGAUUCAGGAGUGAAGUUGCUCUCUGCUGGACUGGAGAAUCCACACUGUACACUGGAGACACUGAGAAUAAACGGUGAGGAAGUGAAAGUGAAAGUCAGUCUCCAUUUUGUGUCGAGGGGAAAAUACAGCAUUUCAGGAGUAAAAACACAGGUUUGAUUUAACACACCGAUGUUGGAGUGAAGUAAACGUGUGUCCUGCUGUAAUCUGGAGAAGGAGACAUGACCUCCAACAUGAGUGUGUCUGGAGAACAGGACUUAAAGAGAGACGAGAGAAUGAUGGAGGGAAAGAGAUCAGACUCACCAGAACCCAGCUGUGUGUCCAUGAAGAGUGACCGGUCAAUGGAGCAUCCAUUUCACUUCAGAGACGGAGCCAGUUCUCCUGAUGUGAGACCACAGCAGAAGAAAUCAAACCUCAGCAGAAAUCAGCUGGACUCCAUAUUCAAGGAGCUGGAACACAAAGUCAUCACCCUGAUAAAGAAUGAGCUGAAGAGGUUUAGGAAGCUCCUGAGUCCAGAUUACCCAGCAUGCACUGAGAGGGAGGUGCAGGAUGAGGAGGAUCUGCACAGUGUCAGAGACGGAGCGCUGAAGAUCACACUGCACGUCCUGAAGAACAUGAACCACACAGAUCUCGCUAACACACUGCACAGCAAACUCGCCUCUGUGUAUCAGCCAAAGCUGAAAUCCAGCCUGAGAGAGAAGUUUAAAAGAAUUAAUGAAGGAAUCUCACAGCAUGGAAGCUCAGCACUUCUGAAUGAGAUCUACACAGAGCUCUACAUCACAGAGGGUUGGAGUGGAGACGUCAAUAAUGAACAUGAGGUGAGACAGAUUGAGACAGCGUCCAGGAGACCAGCAGCACAGGAGACACCCAUCAAAUGUAAUGAUCUCUUUAAAGACAAGUCCAUCAGAAGUGUGCUGACUAAAGGAGUUGCUGGAAUUGGAAAAACAGUCUCCGUGCAGAAGUUCAUUCUGGACUGGACUGAAGGAAACGCAAAUCAGGACGUCUUCUUCAUGUUUCCACUUCCCUUUAGAGAGCUGAAUCUGAUGAAGCAGGAACAUCUCAGUCUGAUGGAUCUUCUUCAUCACUUUUUCCCUGAAAUGAGAAAACUACAGUUAAUAGACUCCUACAAAGUCCUGUUGAUCUUUGAUGGUCUGGAUGAGUGUCGACUUCCUCUAAAUUUCCAGAAGAAUGAGAGAUUGUGUGAUGUGACAGAGUCAGCCUCAGUGGAUGUGCUGCUGACGAACCUCAUCAAGGGGAAUCUGCUUCCCUCUGCUCUCCUCUGGAUAACCUCUCGACCAGCAGCAGCCAAUCAGAUCCUUCGUGAGUGUGUAGACCAGGUAACAGAGGUACGAGGGUUCAGUGAUCCUCAGAAAGAGGAGUACUUCAGGAAGAGGAUCAGAGAUCGGAGCCUGGCCAAUAAAAUCAUCUCACACAUGAAGUCUUCAAGAAGCCUCUACAUCAUGUGCCACAUCCCAGUCUUCUGCUGGAUCUCAGCCACUGUUCUAGAGAGAAUGUUGCGUGAAGCAGAGAGUGGACAGAUCCCCAAGACUCUGACUCAAAUGUUCACACACUUCCUGAUCUUUCAGAUCAAACACAAGGACCAAAAGUACCAUCAGAAGUGUGACCCUGAUCCUCAGCAGACCAGAGCGAGUAUCCUGGCACUGGGAAAACUGGCUUUCCAACAGCUGGAGAAAGGAAACCUGAUCUUCUAUGAGGAAGACCUGAGAGAGUGUGGCAUUGAUGUGAGAGAAGUGUCAGUGUACUCAGGAGUGUGUACCCAAAUCUUCAGAGAGGAGUUUGGGCUUCACCUGGGGAAGGUGUUCAGCUUUGUACAUCUGAGUGUUCAGGAGUUUCUGGCUGCUUUAUACACAUUUCUCUCCUUCAUCAGCAGAAAUGUAACAGAACAACCAACCACUGAUCUGUCUGAUCUUCUCAACAAGUCAGACAUGUCUGAUCUCCUCAGGACUGCAGUGGACAAGGCCUUACAGAGUGAGAACGGACACCUGGACCUGUUCCUCCGCUUCCUUCUGGGUCUCUCACUGGAGUCCAAUCAGACUCUCUUACGAGGCUUAAUGCCACAGACAGGAAGCAGCUCUCACAGCAAACAGGAAACAGUCGAGUACAUCAAGGAGAAGAUCAGGGAGAACCCAUCUCCAGAGAAAUCCAUCAAUCUGUUCCACUGUCUGAAUGAACUGGAUGAUCGUUCUCUAGUGCAGGAAGUACAACGUUACCUGAACAGAAGAGAUUACAGUCGUCUCAGUGGAAGCAGACUCUCUCCUGCUCAGUGGUCAGCUCUGGUGUUUGUGUUACUGAACUUGGAUCAGGAGCUGGAUGAGUUUAAUUUGUGGAAAUAUGACCCAUCAGAGGAAUGUCUUCUGAAGCUGCUGCCAGUGGUCAAAGCCUCCAGAAGAGCUGAGCUGUGUGAGUGUAAACUGACAGAGGAAAGCUGUAGAGUUCUGUCCUCAGUUCUCAGAUCAAACUCCUCCAGACUGAGAGAACUGGACCUGAGUAAGAAUAACCUGCAGGAUUCAGGAGUGAAGCUGCUCUCUGCUGGACUGGAGAAUCCACACUGUACACUGGAGAUACUGAGUCUGCGUGGGUGUAAUCUGACAGAGGAAAGCUGUAGAGUUCUGUCCUCAGUUCUCAGAUCAAACUCCUCCAGACUGAGAGAACUGGACCUGAGUCUCAAUAACCUGCAGGAUUCAGGAGUGAAGUUGCUCUCUGCUGGACUGGAGAAUCCACACUGUACACUGGAGACACUGAGUCUGUGGAGGUGUGAUCUGACAGAGGAAAGCUGUAGAGUUCUGUCCUCAGUUCUCAGAUCAAACUCCUCCAGACUGAGAGAACUGGACCUGAGUCGCAAUAACCUGCAGGAUUCAGGAGUGAAGCUGCUCUCUGCUGGACUGGAGAAUCCGCACUGUACACUGGAGACACUGAGGUACACACACACACACACACUGUACACUGGAGACACUGAGGUACACACACACACACACACACACACACACACACACACACACACACUGUACACUGGAGACACUGAGGUACACACACACACACACUGUACACUGGAGACACUGAGGUACACACACAUACACUCACACACACACUGUACACUGGAGAUACUGAGGUACACUCACACACACACACUGUACACUGGAGACACUGAGGUACACACACACACUCACACACACUGUACACUGGAGACACUGAGGUACUCACACACACUGUACACUGGAGAUACUGAGGUACACACACACACACACUGUACACUGGAGACACUGAGGUACACACACACAUACACACACACUCACACACACACUGUACACUGGAGAUACUGAGGUACACACACACAUACACACACACUCACACACACACACACACACUGUACACUGGAGACACUGAGGUACACACACACACACACUGUACACUGGAGACACUGAGGUACACACACACACACACACACACUGUACACUGGAGACAAUGAGGUACACACACACACACUGUACACUGGAGACACUGAGGUACACACACUGUACACUGGAGAUACUGAGGUACACACACACACACACUGUACACUGGAGAUACUGAGGUACACACACACUGUACACUGGAGAUACUGAGGUACACACACACACACACUGUACACUGGAGAUACUGAGGUACACACACACACACACUGUACACUGGAGAUACUGAGGUACACACACACACACACUGUACACUGGAGAUACUGAGGUACACACACACACACACUGUACACUGGAGACACUGAGGUACACACACACACUGUACACUGGAGAUACUGAGGUACACACACACACUGUACACUGGAGACACUGAGGUACACACACUGUACACUGGAGAUACUGAGGUACACACACACUGUACACUGGAGAUACUGAGGUACACACACACACACACUGUACACUGGAGAUACUGAGGUACACACACACACACACUGUACACUGGAGAUACUGAGGUACACACACACACACACUGUACACUGGAGACACUGAGGUACACACACACUGUACACUGGAGAUACUGAGGUACACACACACACUGUACACUGGAGAUACUGAGGUACACACACACACACACACACUGUACACUGGAGACACUGAGGUACACACACACAUACACACACACUCACACACACACACACUGUACACUGGAGACACUGAGGUACACACACACACACACACACUGUACACUGGAGACACUGAGGUACACACACACUCACACACACACUGUACACUGGAGACACUGAGGUACACACACACACUCACACACACUGUACACUGGAGACACUGAGGUACUCACACACACUGUACACUGGAGAUACUGAGGUACACACACACACACACUGUACACUGGAGACACUGAGGUACACACACUGUACACUGGAGACACUGAGGUACACACACACACACACACACUGUACACUGGAGACACUGAGGUACACACACACACACACACACACACUGUACACUGGAGACACUGAGGUACACACACACACUGUACACUGGAGACACUGAGGUACACACACUGUACACUGGAGAUACUGAGGUACACACACACACACACACUGUACACUGGAGAUACUGAGGUACACACACACACACACUGUACACUGGAGAUACUGAGGUACACACACACACACACUGUACACUGGAGAUACUGAGGUACACACACACACACACUGUACACUGGAGACACUGAGGUACACACACACUGUACACUGGAGAUACUGAGGUACACACACACACACUGUACACUGGAGAUACUGAGGUACACACACACACACACACACUGUACACUGGAGACACUGAGGUACACACACACAUACACACACACUCACACACACACACACUGUACACUGGAGACACUGAGGUACACACACACACACACACUGUACACUGGAGACACUGAGGUACACACACACUCACACACACACUGUACACUGGAGAUACUGAGGUACACUCACACACACACACUGUACACUGGAGACACUGAGGUACACACACACACUCACACACACUGUACACUGGAGACACUGAGGUACUCACACACACUGUACACUGGAGAUACUGAGGUACACACACACACACUGUACACUGGAGACACUGAGGUACACACACACAUACACACACACUCACACACACACUGUACACUGGAGAUACUGAGGUACACUCACACACACACACUGUACACUGGAGACACUGAGGUACACACACACACUCACACACACACUGUACACUGGAGAUACUGAGGUACACACACUCACACACACACUGUACACUGGAGAUACUGAGGUACACACACACACACACACACACACACAGUACACUGGAGAUACUGAGGUACACACACACACACACACACACACAGUACACUGGAGAUACUGAGGUACACACACACACACACUGUACACUGGAGAUACUGAGGUACACACACACUCACACACACACUGUACACUGGAGAUACUGAGGUACACUCACACUGUACACUGGAGACACUGAGGUACACACACACACACACACACACUGACACUGUACAC